CAACUAUAAGAAAAACACAGGAAAAAACACUAAGAGGAUUUACAAAGUCAGAAAUAGCACAAGCCCUAAUAAGUAAGUUAAUUACGUGAUAGCCCCAGUUAGGU